rnacentral:rRNA from 1 species
AUUGAACGCUGGCGGCAGGCCUAACACAUGCAAGUCGAACGGUAACAGGAAGAAGCUUGCUUCUUUGCUGACGAGUGGCGGACGGGUGAGUAAUGUCUGGGAAACUGCCUGAUGGAGGGGGAUAACUACUGGAAACGGUAGCUAAUACCGCAUAACGUCGCAAGACCAAAAAGGGGGACCUUCGGGCCUCUUGCCAUCGGAUGUGCCCAGAUGGGAUUAGCUAGUAGGUGGGGUAACGGCUCACCUAGGCGACGAUCCCUAGCUGGUCUGAGAGGAUGACCCGGCCCACUUGAACUGAGGCACGGUCCCGACUCCUACGGGAGGCCGCAGUGGGGAAUAUUGCACCAUGGGCGGCAGCCUUAUGCAGGCCUGCCGCGUGUAUGAAGAAGGCCUUCGGGUUGUAAAGUACUUUCAGCGGGGAGGAAGGGAGUAAAGGUAAUACCUUUGCUCAUUGACGUUACCCGCAGAAGAAGCACCGGCUAACUCCGUG